rnacentral:lncRNA from 1 species
AAUCUAUGUUAUAUAACUGGGUCAAAAGAUGCCUCUGUCCACAUGGUGAAUGUUUCAACAGGAAAGGUAAAAAUUCUAUCUAAAAUAUUAUACAUAUUACGUACAUGAUUUUAAACAAUUAUAAAUAAAGCUAUUUGUAUUUACAUAAAAAGAUCUAAUCGAUAUUUUCCAAAAAAAUAGAUAUCAACGAACAAAUUAUUUUUUGUGGAAAGGUUUCCUUGUUUUUAUAUUUUGUAGUUAUUUGAUUAUAUUAUCCAAUCAAAUCGAUUUUGCAUCAGCAUAUCAGCCUGACACAUCUAUAAGGAGAGUAAUGCACAAUAAAUCUAUAAUUUUUGAGGAAUAAGAAGAACAGGAAUGCAACACAGUUUGCGGAUAGGAUCCCUAACCUAACAUAUUUUAAGGAAACUAUGUUCCAUAGGGAAGCACUAAUCCUAACCCCUUAUUGACCAAGGGCUUGAACUCUAAUGAGUUCUCCUCUGUCCAUCUUUAUCUUUACUCUAAAUUAGUCAAUAAUUUGGUUGAGUGAAAAAUGUAAUAAGAUCCACACCAUGGAGAAACACACCAUGUAAUACUCUAAAGACAUGUUUUAGAUGCAAUCAUCGAAUGCAUCUUUCACCUUCAUUAUAGUCAAUAUUUGAAAACCAAACAAACUUCAUCAUUUCCAACAUUAUUUAAACCAUGCUAAUUAUGCCAACAUUAUUUUAACCUUACUAAUUGUGCCAUCAUUUAUAUUUAAUUAAAUCAAUUUCUAUAUGAUUCACCAAUCUGGAAAAUUCCAGUCAUUAUUGGGCAGCUACAGGGAGUGAGGAUAAAAAACUCAUUAUUUGGGAUCUCCAACAUCAUUCGCCUCGCCACAUAUGUAACCAUGAGGUUAGUUCAUAUAGGGCGAUCAUACUCAACUUAUGUUUUCUUUUAAGUAUAAUACGCUACUAUGUUCUCUGUUCAAAAUCAAUGAACACGUCAAUGGAAUGGAAUGGAAUAUAAUUUUGUGUGAUACUCUGACUGAGCACCUAGAUAUAGGGAUAUAAUUUUGUGUGAUAAUUGACAGGAAGAAUAGAUAAUUGCUAUUUGAAGAAAAGAUAAACGGAAUGAAAUGGACUGUAGGUGAUGAACUUACCUAGAAGUUGGACUGGAGGCCGCUCGCCGGACAGGAAGCCGCUCGCCGGACAGGAAGAUCGCGCGCCGCUUGCCAGACAGGAAGAUCGUUGGACUGGAGGUGAUGAAGGAUUUGGGGAAAUAAGGAUUUGGGGGUGAUGAAGGUGAUGAAGGAUUUGGGGAAAUAAGGAUUUGGGGUAUUAACACGAUUUGGGGGUUUUU